AGGGUUCUCCAACUUUCUGCAGGGAAACCCAUUUGGUAACCAUCGUAAUGCAAAUGAAGAUUUUCAUUUUGUUGGGGCCAGAAUGAGUCAAUCUUCAGUUUCACCAAUUGACAUGGGUGUUACAAGGACUCCCUCUCCAGCAGAACAAACUGAUGAUAUGGUGGAAGAUUUAGAUGCAGAAGAAGAUGAUAUCAUUAAGGAGUCUAGAAACGACAAGCGUCUAAAUUGGUCGGUACCUGAAGACAUACGAUUGACCAGUGCUUGGUUGCAUAAUUCAAAGGACCCAGUUGAUGGAAAUGGUAGGAAGGCAGAUUCUUAUUGGGCAGAUGUUACUGAAGAAUACAACAAGACAACAGAAACUAGCCGUCAGAGGAACCGGAACCAAGUGAAAAUACGUUGGGAUCGUUGUAAGAAUGCCAUUGUUUGAUUUUCAUGGAUGUUGGGUAAAUGCCAGUAGAGUGUGACAAAGUGGGAUGAGUGAUGACCAGUUGAUAGACAAAGCUUUAGAGAUGUGGUCCAGUAAAAAUAAUGAUAAGGCCUUCCAUCUGUUGCAUAUGUGGAAGGUAGUACGUGGUGAGCAGAAGUGGUCAGCAUAUCUUGCUAGGUUAAAGAAGGGCAAUGAAAAGAAUGCAAAGGCUAAUCCUCAUCUGGUGAAUUUAGAAUUAGAUGGAGAAAAGAGACCUAUGGGACAUAAGAGAGCAAAAAGGGAGCUUAAUGGCAAAAAGAAGUCAUCUGAUGGUUUUGCUGUUUUUAGUGAAAAAUUUGACAAGUUCAUUAAAGUAACCACAAAGAAUAGGGAAGACAGAGAGAAGACGACAGAAGUUCAGCAAAGCUUGGCUGAUAAGAAGAUUGAAGCGGCUAGGAUUAAUCAUGAAGCAGCCCGUGAACAAACUAAAGCAGCCCAUGAACAAACUAAGUGCAAAAUGCUCGAGACUUUCACACAACUGAUGCUUGCCCCUACUGAUCAGCUCAGUGCAGAUGCUUUGGCAGAGAGAAACUUGGCGCUAGAGAGCCUGAGACUUGCUUUAUUUCCUAAGUAACAAGUGUGUGCAAAUAAAUGUGACCAUGGAAGCAAUUUCUGUAAGAUCUGCUUGGACGACGAUGGACAUGGAGUUCUGUGAAUGAUGACGAUGGAUGGCUUCUUAUCUAAAAAUUAGUAUUAUCUAUUCAGUUUACAAUUCGUAUCUAUGUUUCUAUUACUAUAUAGUUUGCCGGUUCAUAACAUUACUGUAUGCUUCUAGUCUAUUGCCGUAUGUACCGGUAAAAUUCUUGAAUUGUGAUGUUUCUCUUGCUGGGUGAAUGUGAUGUUUCUCUUCUGAUUGCUUCUGGUGAAUGAGAUUGCUUCCGGGUGAAUGUGAUGUUUCUCUUGCCGGCUGAAUGGUGAUUUUUUUCUGGUUCAGUUGCUAGCUGAAUGGUUCUAUGUGUUCUGUUUAAGUUAUGUUGUUGGUGAUAAAAUUGAGAGGUGUA